rnacentral:tRNA from 1 species
UCGGGAGUGGUCCAACGGUGAGGGCACCCGGCUUUGAUCCGGGCGAUCGAGGUUCGAUUCCUCGCUCCCGAG